GACGAACGCUGGCGGCGUGCUUAACACAUGCAAGUCGAGCGAUGAAGUUCCUUCGGGAAUGGAUUAGCGGCGGACGGGUGAGUAACACGUGGGUAACCUGCCUCAUAGAGGGGAAUAGCCUUUCGAAAGGAAGAUAAAUACCGCAUAAGAUUGUAGUAUCGCAUGAUACAGCAAUUAAAGGAGUAAUCCGCUAUGAGAUGGACCCGCGUCGCAUUAGCUAGUUGGUGAGGUAACGGCUCACCAAGGCGACGAUGCGUAGCCGACCUGAGAGGGUGAUCGGGCACUUUGGGACUGAGGCACGGCCCAGACUCCUACGGGAGGCAGGAGUGGGGAAUAUUGCAAAAUGGGGGAAACCCUGAUGCAGCACCGCCUCGUGAGUAAUGACGGUCUUCGGAUUGUAAAACUCUGUCUUCAGGGACGAUAAUGACGGUACCUGAGGAGGAAGCCACGGCUAACUACGUGCCAGCCGCCGCCGUAA
rnacentral:rRNA from 1 species